UGAGGAAUAUUGGUCAAUGGGCGCAAGCCUGAACCAGCCAUCCCGCGUGCAGGAAGACGGCCCUAUGGGUUGUAAACUGCUUUUCCAGGGGGAGAAUUUUUCUGUCGUGACAGGAAUUGACGGUACCCUGGGAAUAAGCAUCGGCUAACUCCGUGCCAGCAGCCGCGGUAAUACGGAGGAUGCGAGCGUUAUCCGGAUGUAUUGGGUUUAAAGGGUGCGUAGGCGGAUUGAUAAGUCAGUGGUGAAAACCUGCAGCUUAACUGUAGACGUGCUGUUGAUACUGUCAGUCAUGAGUGUGGGUAAGGGAAGCGGAAUGUGUAAUGUAGCGGUGCAAUGCGUAGAUAUUACACAGAACACCGAUUGCGAAGGCAGCUUACUGGGCCAUUACUGACGCUGAUGCACGAAGGCGUGGGGAGCGAACA
rnacentral:rRNA from 1 species